rnacentral:rRNA from 1 species
UAGGGAAUCUUCCGCAAUGGGCGAAAGCCUGACGGAGCAACGCCGCGUGAGUGAUGAAGGUCUUCGGAUCGUAAAACUCUGUUAUUAGGGAAGAACAAAUGUGUAAGUAACUAUGCACGUCUUGACGGUACCUAAUCAGAAAGCCACGGCUAACUACGUGCCAGCAGCCGCGGUAAUACGUAGGUGGCAAGCGUUAUCCGGAAUUAUUGGGCGUAAAGCGCGCGUAGGCGGUUUUUUAAGUCUGAUGUGAAAGCCCACGGCUCAACCGUGGAGGGUCAUUGGAAACUGGAAAACUUGAGUGCAGAAGAGGAAAGUGGAAUUCCAUGUGUAGCGGUAAAAUGCGCAGAGAUAUGGAGGAACACCAGUGGCGAAGGCGACUUUCUGGUCUGUAACUGGCGCUGAUGUGCGAAAGCGUGGGGAUCAAACAGG